UAAUAUGAUAAUUUCUUGUUAACCCCCAUUAAUGCAGAAAAUACCAACUAAAGUCUUGAUGAGGCUUGGAAGGAGCUUCAAGAGUACUUGAUUCAAACUGAAGACAGUGGGCUACUAAGAAAAAGAAUUGCUAAUUUUGUAAUCAGGUUGUUGAAGUACCAAAUGUCAGCUGGGAUGAUAUUGGUGGGCUGGAAAAUGUCAAGAGGAAACUGCAAGAGAUUAGAACAGUGGAUGUUUUAACUCAGAAAA